GUGAGGAAUAUUGGUCAAUGGGCGAGAGCCUGAACCAGCCAAGUCGCGUGAAGGAUGAAGGUUUUAUGAAUUGUAAACUUCUUUUGCAGGGGAAUAAAGUACGGUACGUGUACCGUUUUGUAUGUACUCUGCGAAUAAGGAUCGGCUAACUCCGUGCCAGCAGCCGCGGUAAUACGGAGGAUCCAAGCGUUAUCCGGAUUUAUUGGGUUUAAAGGGUGCGCAGGCGGGUUGAUAAGUCAGCGGUGAAAGUUUGCAGCUUAACUGUAAAAUUGCCGUUGAAACUGUCGAUCUUGAGUGCAAAUGAGGUAAGCGGAAUGUGUUGUGUAGCGGUGAAAUGCUUAGAUAUAACACAGAACACCGAUUGCGAAGGCAGCUUACUGGGAUGCAACUGACGCUCAUGCACGAAAGCGUGGGGAUCAAACAGGAUUAGAUACCCGAGUAGUCC
rnacentral:rRNA from 1 species